rnacentral:rRNA from 1 species
UACGGAGGAUGCAAGCGUUAUCCGGAAUCAUUGGGCGUAAAGCGUCCGUAGGUGGCUGUUCAAGUCUGUCGUCAAAGACUGGGGCUUAACCCUGGAAAGGCGGUGGAAACUGAAGCGCUAGAGUGCGGUAGGGGUAGAGGGAAUUCCCGGUGUAGCGGUGAAAUGCGUAGAGAUCGGGAAGAACAUCGGUGGCGAAAGCGCUCUACUGGACCGCAACUGACACUCAGGGACGAAAGCUAGGGGAGCGAAUGGG